AUGGGAUUAAACGUUUACACAAGGUAGUGAUUAUUUUCCAGGUUUCUGAGUGUCAGUGCCACGUAUUCCUCUGAACAGCUGCACCUGUACAUAGACACUUGAGGGUCACGUCAACCAAGAAACUCACUUUCUUUGUCUCUCCUGUCAUCCUGUCUCUGUCUCCCCCUUUCUGCUUAACAAUGUGGCAGAUAUUUUUUUUCUAAAUGUCUACCUGUCCACCUACCUGUCAAUCAGCUUUAAUUGUCUGGCUCAAUACAUGUUUUUCUCCAUGCAUACCCUUUCUUUAACACAUGGUCUAACUCUGACUUCUGGAGCCGCCAUGGGUGAAGUCAUUUUUUCUUUUCCAGAAUAUGUAAUGUGAAUUGUGAACAGCUAAUAGGGGUUUAUAUUGUCCCCUGUAGCCACACCAGCUGAGAGCUGGAAGUUUGACUUAUCAUUAGCUUGAAACAGUCACUCAGACGGACAUCUGUGCCACUGCAGCCUCUUGCGCGAACGUUGGGUUGGGGGUCUCCUUGUACCUGGCAGCGGAACUCCACCAUCUCCUCUUCCAGGACCACCUGGUUGAUGGGUCUCCGCAGAAAGUAGAUGGUGGGCUCGGGAUGGCCUCUGGGAGGGACACAUUCAAGAAUUGCUGGCUCUCCUGCUGCCACAACCACAUC